AGGAAGGGGACUGGGCAGGCUGGCCUAGGGUUGAGCUCAGGAAGGAUUCUGCCAGGGGUUUCAAGACUUGGGGACCAGACCUUUUCUUGUCUCUACAAUUUC